rnacentral:lncRNA from 1 species
CAUAUAUUUGUUGACUGAUUCCAUUUCUUCUUCUGUGAAGUGUCUGGUCAGUUCCUUUGCCCAUUUAUUAAUUGGGCUACUUAUUUUUUUAGUGUUAAGUUUUUUGAAUUCUUUCUGUAUCCUUGAGAUUAAUGCAGUAUCUGAGAUACCCAAGUUGCUUUGGCUACAGCUGGGUGCCUUCAUGCCCAGAAACCUCUUCCUCUUUAAGAAGUUUCACAUUUUCUGCUUCAUGGGAACUGCUCCUUGGUAGGGCUGUCAUAACAAAGUGACAAUGUGCUGCCAGAUAUUUUCUCAAGGUUCUGAAGUCUGGAAGUUCAAGGUCCAGACUUUGGCAGUUUGCUUCCUCUGGGGCCUCUCAGUGGUGGUACCUGGCAUCUCCUCUGUGUGUGAGAACUGGGGUCUCUCCUUAUGUGCCUCUGGGCAUUGUGUCCUUUUGAAACGGCAGAGUCAUGUUGGAUUGUGAUUUCACUUAACCUUAGUGACCUCACUAUGCACCUCCUCCUUCUCCUUUUUCUUCUUUCUCUUCCUGCCUAUUUCUUUCAAUGUUAGGGAUGGAAUCAGGGGUGCUCUGUUGCUGAGAUACACCCCAACCCUUCAUAUUUCUAAUUGGAGAGAGCAUCUCCCUAAGUUGUGGAGGCUGGCCUUGAACUUGCAAUCCUCCUGCCUCAGUCUCUGAGUAGCUGGGAUUGCAGGUGUGCCCACCAUGCCCACCUUUCCCAGGCCCUCUGGACUUUCCUGCAGAGACCUUAAUUUCCCUCUUCCCAGGACAGGAAGGGCUGGAGGGCUUCUCUUGGCAGAGCCCAGGACAGCCCCUGCUCACAGCUCCCACAGGUUGCUUCCCUCCCUCCCCUUCUUUGGCCAUGAAGCCCACCCUGUGACCCCUCAGCCCUCCUGGCUCCCCACUGUGGUCCUGUUGUGAUGUCAAUUUAUAGGUCCUGCAGGGCCUGGCUCCAACUUAAAGCGAUUCCAGUUACACUGCACCCAAAUGAACACCCAGGUCACUGAGUGAGCCUUCCCUGGGCAGGCACAGGGUUAGCACUGUGUGCUAUAGCUAGUCUAGCCCCAGGACAGCCCUCUGUAAUGGAUGGAUGCAUCAUCCUCUAGCUGCAGAUGGGAACAGGCAGAGAAGGGAACUUGCCCACCGUCUCCUUCCCCAGGCAGUGCAGUAGCUGGGAUUCAAAUCCAGAGCAGCCAGUUCCAAAUGUCUUUGUUCUUUCUUUCCUGUUUUCUGAGACUGUGGAUUGACCCAGGGCCAUGUGCAUGCUAAGUAUGUGACUUACCCAGGAGCUGUAAGCCCACG